rnacentral:rRNA from 1 species
AUUGAACGCUGGCGGCAGGCCUAACACAUGCAAGUCGAGCGGAGCGGCCGACGGGUGAGUAAUUCCUGUGUAUCUGCCUGGUCGUUGGGGGGAAAGUACGGCUACGGGCGGUAAUUACUCCCACUAUCAGUUGAGCGUAGCUCGGAUGAGUUAGUUGGUGGGGUAAAGGCUUACCAAGGCGACGAUCCGUAACUGGUCUGAGAGGAUGAUCAGCCACACUGGAACUGAGACACGGCCCAGACUCCUACGGGAGGCAGCAGUGGGGAAUAUUGGACAAUGGGCGAAAGCCUGAUCCAGCCAUGCCGCGUGUGCGAAGAAGGUCUUCGGGUUGUAAAGCACUUUAAGUUGGGAGGCGUUACCGACAGAAGAAGCACCGGCUAACUUCGUGCCAGCAGCCGCGGUAAUUC